rnacentral:rRNA from 1 species
UACGAAGGGAGCUAGCGUUGUUCGGAAUCACUGGGCGUAAAGCGCACGUGGGCGGAUGUGUCAGUCAGGGGUGAAAUCCCGGAGCUCAACUUCGGAACUGCCUUUGAUACAGCACGUCUUGAGUCCGAUAGAGGUGGGUGGAAUUCCUAGUGUAGAGGUGAAAUUCGUAGAUAUUAGGAAGAACACCGGUGGCGAAGGCGGCCCACUGGAUCGGUACUGACGCUGAGGUGCGAAAGCGUGGGGAGCAAACAGG